CACAACCAAAACUGAUGGAUAGCUUAGUGGAAAGAGGGAACCCAUAAGUAUGUGUAUCCAGCGCUCCAACACGAGUUCGAAUCCUUGUGGACGUGUUUUCUAUUUAAUUACUUUUUCAGCAGCCUUGCUUUUAAAAUGGCACAAGGUCCUCCGGCCUUUAUUAUUAACAACAACAAAAUAGACGGGCAGACGGCCCAAGCCUAAAAUGGCACAAGGCCCUCCGGCCUUUAUUAUUAUUAACAACAAAAUGGACGGGCAGACGGCCCAAGCCCAACAAGAAAGACUACCAAGUUCAAUAACAACAAAAAUCAAGAUAAAAAAAAAUUAAAAAUAAAUAUUUAAACUAAAGCUAAACCUUUAAAAAAGAAAUAGAAAGAGCAGUAGUUAGCUUCUGGAACUGGAAGAAAGACUCUCUCCUCUCUUAAGCUCCUAAUUUAGAAGGUCAAUUUCAGCCUCUUUACAUAGGUUGAAAACUUGAAAUUGUGAAGUUAGUUCAAGAUGAUUACGAAAUUUUUUAAGCCUAAAAUCACUCCAGAUUCUCCUUCAGUAAGUUCUCCUUCACAUACUGAAACUUCUGACAAUGUCAAUCCUUCUCAACCAUCAGAUAAAGAUAAAAUAUUGAAUUUGGGUUUUCUUGAAUCCAAUCCUGCUAAAAGAAAAUAAAUUUCGGAAUAUACUCCUAAUCAGCGUGAUGGAGUAAGGAGAUAUUACAUUCAAAAAGGGCCCUGCAGACCUGGGACAAGGUUAUGAUGGAGCUAGUAAUAUGCAGGGAGAAUUCAAUGAUCUUAAAACUUCGAUAAUGAAAGAUACUCCUUCGGUAUAUAGUGUACAUUGUUUUGCUCAUCAGUUACAAUUGACUCGUGUAGCUGUUGCAAAGAAGCAUCAUGAGGUAAAUCAAGUUUUUGAUAUUCUUGCUAAUGUUUUGAAUGUUGUUGGAGGAUCUUUUAAGCGUAGGGACAUGCUUAGAGAUGAUCAAACAGAAAAAUUAGAAGAGUUAUUGAUGCUCGGUGAAGUUCAUAUAGGAAGCAAACUGAAUUAAGAACUUGAUCUUCAAAGGGCAGGAGAUACUCGUUGGAGUUCUCAUUUUAAAAUAGUGCGUAACUUUAUUAAAUUAUUCUCUUUAUUUUGUGCUAAACAUGAUAUUGUGAUUCCCGAAAUGAAUAAGAAUUAUGCUCUUGAAAAGUCAAAGAGUAAGAUUUCAAGUAUCACAUAUUCUUAUCAUUUGUGUGCUGAAAUUUUUAAUGCUAUAAUUGAUUUGCAACUUGGUGAGCUUAACAGUCGUUUUGAUGAAGUGAAUAUUGAUCUACUUCUUGGUAUGGCUAGUUUGAGUCUAGAUAACUCUUUUGUAAAUUAUGAUAAAAACAGGAUUAUAAAACUUGCUACCUAUUAUCCGGAUGAGUUUAGUGCUUCUAUGCUUGAGGAUCUUAGUUUUGAAUUUGACAAUUAUAUUGACUAUGUGCGACAAGGGAAUAAUGAUUUCUCUAAGUUGAAAAAACUUGGGGAUCUUUCAGAGACAUUGGUGAAAAUAAAUUUGCACAAGAAUUGGAGAGAACAAAUUUGCACAAGAAUUGGAGACUUGUUUAUUUGGUUGUGAAGUUGAGUUUGAUAUUACCUGUGGCGACUGCAACGAUGGAAAGAGCUUUCUCUUCGAUGAAAUAUAUUAAGAAUGACUUGCGUAGCAGAAUUGGUGAUGAUUUUUUCAAUGAUUGUUUAGUUUGUUAUAUAGAAGAUGAGGUAUUUGAAACUGUAUAUAAUGAAGCGAUCAUUGAUCGUUUUCAAAACAUGACAAGUCGUCGAGUACGAUUAUAAUGAUAAUAUUUUUAAA